rnacentral:ribozyme from 1 species
GGAAAAGGAGACCCAAGCUUCACAAUUCUUAUAUAAUUGCUUUCCCUUUCUUUCUCUCUCUUUCUCUCUUUCUUCUUUCUUUU